GGAGAGAUGGCUGAGCGGCUGAAAGCGGCAGGUUGCUAACCUGUUAUACGUCUUUUUUGGGCGUAUCGAGGGUUCGAAUCCCUCUCUCUCCG
rnacentral:tRNA from 1 species